GAGUUUGAUCAUGGCUCAGAACGAACGCUGGCGGCAUGCCUAACACAUGCAAGUCGAACGAGACCUUCGGGUCUAGUGGCGCACGGGUGCGUAACGCGUGGGAAUCUGCCCUUGGGUUCGGAAUAACAGUGAGAAAUUACUGCUAAUACCGGAUGAUGUCUUCGGACCAAAGAUUUAUUGCCCAAGGAUGAGCCCGCGUAGGAUUAGCUAGUUGGUGGGGUAAUGGCCUACCAAGGCGACGAUCCUUAGCUGGUCUGAGAGGAUGAUCAGCCACACUGGGACUGAGACACGGCCCAGACUCCUACGGGAGGCAGCAGUGGGGAAUAUUGGACAAUGGGCGAAAGCCUGAUCCAGCAAUGCCGCGUGAGUGAUGAAGGCCUUAGGGUUGUAAAGCUCUUUUACCCGGGAUGAUAAUGACAGUACCGGGAGAAUAAGCUCCGGCUAACUCCGUGCCAGCCGCCGCCGUAAC
rnacentral:rRNA from 1 species